rnacentral:rRNA from 1 species
CAAGCGGUGGAGCAUGUGGUUAAUUCGACGCAACGCGAAGAACCUACCUAGGCUUGACAUCUGGGGAAUCCCAUGGAAACAUGGGAGUGCGGAGCAAUCCGAGCCCCAAGACAGGUGCUGCAUGGCUGUCGUCAGCUCGUGUCGUGAGAUGUUGGGUUAAGUCCCGCAACGAGCGCAACCCUUGUCUCUAGUUGCCAUCAUUCAGUUGGGCUACUCUAGAGAGACUGCCGGUGAUAAACCGGAGGAAGGUGGGGACGACGUCAAGUCCUCAUGGCCUUUAUGCCUAGGGCUACACACGUGCUACAAUGGUUGGUACAACGAGUUGCGAGUCGGUGACGGCGAGCUAAUCUCUUAAAGCCAAUCUCAGUUCGGAUUGUAGGCUGCAACUCGCCUACAUGAAGUCGGAAUCGCUAGUAAUCGCGGAUCAGCACGCCGCGGUGAAUACGUUCCCGGGCCUU